rnacentral:rRNA from 1 species
GGGUUGUGAGGUUAAGCGACUAAGCGUACACGGUGGAUGCCCUGGCAGUCAGAGGCGAUGAAGGACGUGCUAAUCUGCGAAAAGCGUCGGUAAGGUGAUAUGAACCGUUACAGCCGGCGAUGUCCGAAUGGGGAAACCCAGUGCAAUUCGUUGCACUAUCGUUAACUGAAUACAUAGGUUAACGAGGCGAACCGGGGGAACUGAAACAUCUAAGUACCCCGAGGAAAAGAAAUCAACCGAGAUUCCCCCAGUAGCGGCGAGCGAACGGGGAGCAGCCCAGAGUCUGAAUCAGCUUGUGUGUUAGUGGAACGGUCUGGAAAGUCCGACGGUACAGGGUGAUAGUCCCGUACACCAAAAUGCACAGGCUGUGAACUCGAAGAGUAGGGCGGGACACGUGGUAUCCUGUCUGAAUAUGGGGGGACCAUCCUCCAAGGCUAAAUACUCCUGACUGACCGAUAGUGAACCAGUACCGUGAGGGAAAGGCGAAAAGAACCCCGGCGAGGGGAGUGAAAAAGAACCUGAAACCGUGUACGUACAAGCAGUGGGAGCACCUUCGGGUGUGACUGCGUACCUUUUGUAUAAUGGGUCAGCGACUUAUAUUCUGUAGCAAGGUUAACCGUAUAGGGGAGCCGCAGGGAAACCGAGUCUUAACUGGGCGUUAAGUUGCAGGGUAUAGACCCGAAACCCGGUGAUCUAGCCAUGGGCAGGUUGAAGGUUGGGUAACACUAACUGGAGGACCGAACCGACUAAUGUUGAAAAAUUAGCGGAUGACUUGUGGCUGGGGGUGAAAGGCCAAUCAAACCGGGAGAUAGCUGGUUCUCCCCGAAAGCUAUUUAGGUAGCGCCUCGUGAAUUCAUCUUCGGGGGUAGAGCACUGUUUCGGCUAGGGGGUCAUCCCGACUUACCAACCCGAUGCAAACUACGAAUACCGAAGAAUGUUAUCACGGGAGACACACGGCGGGUGCUAACGUCCGUCGUGAAGAGGGAAACAACCCAGACCGCCAGCUAAGGUCCCAAAGUCAUGGUUAAGUGGGAAACGAUGUGGGAAGGCACAGACAGCCAGGAUGUUGGCUUAGAAGCAGCCAUCAUUUAAAGAAAGCGUAAUAGCUCACUGGUCGAGUCGGCCUGCGCGGAAGAUGUAACGGGGCUAAACCAUGCACCGAAGCUGCGGCAGCGACACUAUGUGUUGUUGGGUAGGGGAGCGUUCUGUAAGCCUGCGAAGGUGACCUGUGAGGGUUGCUGGAGGUAUCAGAAGUGCGAAUGCUGACAUAAGUAACGAUAAAGCGGGUGAAAAGCCCGCUCGCCGGAAGACCAAGGGUUCCUGUCCAACGUUAAUCGGGGCAGGGUGAGUCGACCCCUAAGGCGAGGCCGAAAGGCGUAGUCGAUGGGAAACAGGUUAAUAUUCCUGUACUUGGUGUUACUGCGAAGGGGGGACGGAGAAGGCUAUGUUAGCCGGGCGACGGUUGUCCCGGUUUAAGCAUGUAGGCUGGUUAUCCAGGCAAAUCCGGAUAAUCAAGGCUGAGGUGUGAUGACGAGGCACUACGGUGCUGAAGUAACAAAUGCCCUGCUUCCAGGAAAAGCCUCUAAGCAUCAGGUAACAUCAAAUCGUACCCCAAACCGACACAGGUGGUCAGGUAGAGAAUACCAAGGCGCUUGAGAGAACUCGGGUGAAGGAACUAGGCAAAAUGGUGCCGUAACUUCGGGAGAAGGCACGCUGGUGUGUAGGUGAAGUCCCUGCGGAUGGAGCUGAGACCAGUCGAAGAUACCAGCUGGCUGCAACUGUUUAUUAAAAACACAGCACUGUGCAAACACGAAAGUGGACGUAUACGGUGUGACGCCUGCCCGGUGCCGGAAGGUUAAUUGAUGGGGUUAUCCGUAAGGAGAAGCUCUUGAUCGAAGCCCCGGUAAACGGCGGCCGUAACUAUAACGGUCCUAAGGUAGCGAAAUUCCUUGUCGGGUAAGUUCCGACCUGCACGAAUGGCGUAAUGAUGGCCAGGCUGUCUCCACCCGAGACUCAGUGAAAUUGAACUCGCUGUGAAGAUGCAGUGUACCCGCGGCAAGACGGAAAGACCCCGUGAACCUUUACUAUAGCUUGACACUGAACAUUGAGCCUUGAUGUGUAGGAUAGGUGGGAGGCUUUGAAGCGUGGACGCCAGUCUGCGUGGAGCCAACCUUGAAAUACCACCCUUUAAUGUUUGAUGUUCUAACGUUGGCCCCUGACCGGGGUUGCGGACAGUGUCUGGUGGGUAGUUUGACUGGGGCGGUCUCCUCCCAAAGCGUAACGGAGGAGCACGAAGGUUAGCUAAUCCUGGUCGGACAUCAGGAGGUUAGUGCAAUGGCAUAAGCUAGCUUGACUGCGAGCGUGACGGCGCGAGCAGGUGCGAAAGCAGGUCAUAGUGAUCCGGUGGUUCUGAAUGGAAGGGCCAUCGCUCAACGGAUAAAAGGUACUCCGGUGAUAACAGGCUGAUACCGCCCAAGAGUUCAUAUCGACGGCGGUGUUUGGCACCUCGAUGUCGGCUCAUCACAUCCUGGGGCUGAAGUAGGUCCCAAGGGUAUGGCUGUUCGCCAUUUAAAGUGGUACGCGAGCUGGGUUUAGAACGUCGUGAGACAGUUCGGUCCCUAUCUGCCGUGGGCGCUGGAGAAUUGAGGGGGGCUGCUCCUAGUACGAGAGGACCGGAGUGGACGCAUCACUGGUGUUCGGGUUGUCAUGCCAAUGGCACUGCCCGGUAGCUAAAUGCGGAAGAGAUAAGUGCUGAAAGCAUCUAAGCACGAAACUUGCCCCGAGAUGAGUUCUCCCUGAGACUUUAAGUCUCCUGAAGGAACGUUAAAGACGAUGACGUUGAUAGGCCGGGUGUGUAAGCGCAGCGAUGCGUUGAGCUAACCGGUACUAAUGAACCGUGAGGCUUAACCUUACAACGCCGAAG